AUUGAACGCUGGCGGCAGGCUUAACACAUGCAAGUCGAACGGUAACAGGAAGAAGCUUGCUUCUUUGCUGACGAGUGGCGGACGGGUGAGUAAUGUCUGGGAAACUGCCUGAUGGAGGGGGAUAACUACUGGAAACGGUAGCUAAUACCGCAUAACGUCGCAAGACCAAAGAGGGGGACCUUCGGGCCUCUUGCCAUCGGAUGUGCCCAGAUGGGAUUAGCUAGUAGGUGGGGUAACGGCUCACCUAGGCGACGAUCCCUAGCUGGUCUGAGAGGAUGACCAGCCACACUGGAACUGAGACACGGUCCAGACUCCUACGGGAGGCAGCAGUGGGGAAUACUGCACAAUGGGCGCAAGCCUGAUGCAGCCAUGCCGCGUGUAUGAAGAAGGCCUUCGGGUUGUAAAGUACUUUCAGCGGGGAGGAAGGGAGUAAAGUUAAUACCUUUACUCAUUGACGUUACCCGCAGAAGAAGCACCGGCUAACUCCGUG
rnacentral:rRNA from 1 species